CUUAUGAGCAAAGACCUACAGGUCCAUGUACAUGUGUUUUUUCAAGCUUAACCAGCUGGAUUAUUGAAAUUACAGCUUCAACUUUGCUGUUGACCAAUCAGUAAUUGACAAGUGUUCAAUUAAUUUGAGUUACUUCGUUGCAGAUAAAUAUUAUCAAUGUGGUAUUUGUAUUCAUUUACUGUCAGUCAAAGCUGUUUAAGUGAGAUCAAGAUCAUAUGGUACGGAAGAUGUUGAAUUUUGGAUUCUGUAGCUACCAACUUCCCGCUACGCUAGCUGCAUGUUCCAAGCUCUGCUCAGGGGAUCAUGAGAAUUCAUCUAAUGUUCCCGAUGUUAGCAAAGCAGUUACAAGCUAUGUGGGAAACAGGAAAUCUGUCAAAAGGCUCAAAGCCAAGCAUUCGAUGAGUCCUGCUGCUCAAAUACGUAGCUGUGGAGUAGUGUGUUCUGGUCCUGUUUGAUGAUGUUGAUCACAGGACCUAUGCCGACCUUACGGUAAUUGCUUAUUAAGCAUGAAAUUGUCUUUCCGGCACAUUUCAUUUCAUUCUUAUUUGAAAAUCUAUGAUGGUGCACAUGCUUCAAGUUCCA